rnacentral:rRNA from 1 species
UACGGAGGGAGCUAGCGUUAUUCGGAAUUACUGGGCGUAAAGCGCACGUAGGCGGCUUUGUAAGUUAGAGGUGAAAGCCUGGAGCUCAACUCCAGAACUGCCUUUAAGACUGCAUCGCUUGAAUCCAGGAGAGGUGAGUGGAAUUCCGAGUGUAGAGGUGAAAUUCGUAGAUAUUCGGAAGAACACCAGUGGCGAAGGCGGCUCACUGGACUGGUAUUGACGCUGAGGUACGAAAGCGUGGGGAGCAAACAGG